rnacentral:snoRNA from 1 species
AAUGAUGGGAGAUUCUUGCUGGUGUGUUCAAAAGACAGUGCCAUAGAAAUUCAGUAUUUGGCAUUGUUGGUUUUCUUGCCUUCGUGCAUGUUAAACCUGGCAUUUCUAUUGAUACGCUA